UUACACUAUAUCAAACCUGUAAAGUUCCUCUUUCCUCAACUCCGUGGUCUGCCAUCGCUGACUGUGACAGAAUAAUUCUGCCAUAAUGGGCCCAGGGGACUCAAAUGUCACCUCAGAGAAGAAGUUGCUCACCCAGCUCUGGAGUUACUGCCGGAGCGUAAUCCAGGCUGCAAAUCAGCAUCAGAGUCACAUACAGUUCGGGCAAGGAGGAUGUGGCUGCCUCCCUGGGAGCCCUUGCUGCCUGGUUUUUUUCUUCAUAGGCGUGACAGUUUCCCUACCGUCGCUCGCUGCUCACUUGUUGGACCCUCCACUGCAGGGAAGAAGGCUCCCUCGCCAUUGGCGCCCUACCCCAUCUCCUCUCCCUCCUUGAACGUCAGUUGAGUCAGCAGACAAAGGACCGGCAGUGCUAGUCACCACAGUGAGUAGACCGGACUCUGUUGUUUUAAUAAAUCCUGUCACAAAGGAUAAAAAUACAGAUAAUCAGGAGGGGACAGUUUCCAUACAUGCGGCCCCACCUUCUCGGAGGAGACGGUGCCCACGCCAUCAUCAAACCAAAUCUCACCUCACUCCUGUGGCUUCAGAAGAAUCAGCUGAUUCUGGACCAGCAGUGCAAGGCGCCGCACUGCCGUAUCACCAUCAUCACCAUCGGCUCGACCGUCUGUAGCUGCAGCGCUACCAGAGGGGCCCGCUCUGCCCGAGCAGGAGGUCAGCGCGCCGGAGGGGCCCGCUCAAUCGGAGCUAGAUGGCAGCGCCCUGAAACGGCCUGCACGUCCACGUCCAACACGGCUUGCACAUCAUGAACCACCUACUGUGCUUUGCCAUUGCCUAUCGGAGUUGUUACAUGGUCAACCGCCGGAAUUGCAACGUCACCACCGCCAGGUCCACGGCCGCCCACCUGAACAGUUUCACUGCUACUGGAUUCGUGGUCAGCCAUCAGAGCUACUUCGAGGCUGUCAUCAGACCCCUGGCCGCCCACCAGAACUGCUCCACCAGGCCCGUGGCAGGCCGCCUGAACUGUUCUGCCACUGUUGCUGUCCAUCGGGUUGACCACCAGAAUUGUUUUGUCGCCACCGCCUGGACUGCAGUUGGCUGUUAUGUGGCCGUCGUGGGGAUUGCAAUUGGGCCUACGGACUGGUUGAAGUUUUGGACUGAUUGAGGUUGUUUUUGUUUAGUUUGGGGAGUGGUUAUUAUACAUGCCUUUUCCUUGCAGUGGAAAUGUUGACCAUUUCUAUAUUAGAUUGUUUCCUGGCAUUUUUAUUAUAACACAUCUAAAAUUACAAACUUUAAACAUGCAGCAUUUUGUCUUUGAGUGUUGAAAUCAUUUGUUGAAUUUAAUUAGAUUUACUUUGGCAAGAAUAUUACUUUUCAAUCUUCUAUUAAAGAAAUAGUUGCCUCUUUGUUUUCAUAAAUGGUUAUUACUGUUAGUGACACUGUCUCAACCUAAGAGGGCAUGUUUUUCUGCAACUCCAAAAAACUGAAGGCAGCAACUGAAUGCUGGUGCUGUGAAGGCCUGGAAGAGCCAGCAUAGGGUGAUAUCCCUGUGUUCUGGACUUCACAUUGACAAUGACUCUAAACUGUUUUUCUAGUUAUAAAAACAGUCCUUAUACUUAGAAUCAUGCUAGUUUUUCCAGUUACCUUUGAAUCUCUGAAAAUGGGGGACUAUGUCUGUCAUUUCUAACCUGUUAAGUGAAUACUUAUGUUAAACUUCUAGAAUCAAAGCUAAGAGGCAAAUUACAAACAAUGUCUAAAAACUUGCAGACCUACAUAAGUGUACACACAUGGAAUCCUACUUUAAUGUCUUAAGGCUUCACUGAGAGACCCUGAGUCUGUGUGCCAGUGUGUUUAGUCACCACCUCCUAUACUUGUCCCUGUGACACCAUAAUUCACACAUUGUGUUAUGGCCUGCAGGUUUUGUUUGGAUUUCAUAAUUAAAUUACAUUUAAUAAGUGUAUUCAGUCUGUUUUCUCCUGUACAAGAAUUCCAAUUUAUCUCUGUUGUUGUUAGGCUACAUUUUGAUUUGUCUUAGUUUCAUGAGUAUUUCACAAGAUUAUAUUUGAGGCCUAGUUUAGAUGUUAUGGAGUUUUUAUUCUUUGUGUUUUUCUUGUACUUUGGAGUUUAGUGUUUUUGUUUAUUUGCUGCUCUUAAUGGUUUCUUUGUCCUCAGUUUUGAUCAUUCAGUCCUUCACAUUUUGAAUCUUUAGUUCUAGUCUGUGUUUAUGACAUUCACUUAGUCCCCACAAUGUUUCCCUUUAUCUCAUCCUUCAGUGGCAGUCCCCUCUGUCAAGUUCAGUUUUAGUUCUGUUUUAUUUUGGUGGACAAUUAUCUAUAUUGUCCAGUAAUUUUACUUCUGG